rnacentral:rRNA from 1 species
AGCGAACGCUGGCGGCAUGCUUAACACAUGCAAGUCGCACGAAGGUUUCGGCCUUAGUGGCGGACGGGUGAGUAACGCGUAGGAAUCUAUCCAUGGGUGGGGGAUAACACUGGGAAACUGGUGCUAAUACCGCAUGAUACCUGAGGGUCAAAGGCGCAAGUCGCCUGUGGAGGAGCCUGCGUUCGAUUAGCUAGUUGGUGGGGUAAAGGCCUACCAAGGCGAUGAUCGAUGGCUGGUUUGAGAGGAUGAUCAGCCACACUGGGACUGAGACACGGCUCAGACGCGUACGGGAGGCAGCAGUGGGGAAUAUUGGACAAUGGGGGCAACCCUGAUCAAGCAAUGCCGCGUGUGUGAAGAAGGUCUUCGGAUUGUAAAGCACUUUCGACGGGGACGAUGAUGACGGUACCCGUAGAAGAAGCCCCGGCUAACUUCGUGCCAGCCGCCGCGGUAA